rnacentral:rRNA from 1 species
GACGAACGUUGGCGGCGUGCUUAAUACAUGCAAGUCAACUGAAGCACCGGUAGUAAUACUGGUGUGGAGGUGGCGCACGGGUGAGUAACACGUAGGUAAUCUGCCUUCAGGUCUGACAUAACCCCGAGAAAUCGGGGCUAAUAGCAGAUGAUGCAGCGGCUUGACAUCAAGACAGUUGUUAAAGCUUCGGCGCCUGAAGAUGAGCCUGCGUCUGAUUAGCUAGUUGGCGGAGUAAUAGCCCACCAAGGCGACGAUCAGUAGCUGGUCUGAGAGGAUGAUCAGCCACACUGGAACUGAGACACGGUCCAGACUCCUACGGGAGGCAGCAGUAAGGAAUAUUGCUCAAUGGGAGAAAUCCUGAAGCAGCAACGCCGCGUGAGGGAUGAAGGGCUUUUGCUCGUAAACCUCUGUAGUGAGGGAAAAAAUUUCCAUUCUAUGGAAUAUGAUGGUACCUCAAAAGUA